rnacentral:rRNA from 1 species
GACAGAGGGUGCAAACGUUGUUCGGAAUUACUGGGCGUAAAGCGCGUGUAGGCGGCAUGACAAGUCGGGUGUGAAAGCCCUGGGCUCAACCCAGGAAGUGCACUCGAUACUGUCGUGCUAGAGUCCCGGAGAGGGUGGUGGAACUCUCGGUGUAGAGGUGAAAUUCGUAGAUAUCGAGAAGAACACCGGUGGCGAAGGCGGCCACCUGGACGGUGACUGACGCUGAGACGCGAAAGCGUGGGGAGCAAACCGG